AUUGAACGCUGGCGGCAGGCCUAACACAUGCAAGUCGAGCGAGCGGCGGACGGGUGAGUAAUGUAUGGGGAACUGCCCGAUAGAGGGGGAUAACUACUGGAAACGGUCGCUAAUACCGCAUAUCAACGGGUGAACCCAUAUGGGAUUAGCUAGUAGGUGGGGUAAAGGCUCACCUAGGCGACGAUCUCUAGCUGGUCUGAGAGGAUGAACAGCCACACUGGGACUGUGACACGGCCCAGACUCCUACGUGAGGCAGCAGGUGGGAAUAUUGCACAAUGGGCGCAAGCCUGAUGCAGCCCUGCCGCGUGUUGGAAGAAGGCCUUAGGGUUGUAAAGUACUUUCAGCGGGGAGGCGUUACCCGCAGAAGAAGCACCGGCUAACUCCGUGCCAGCAGCCGCGGUAAUAC
rnacentral:rRNA from 1 species